UUUCCGUAGGUGAACCUGCGGAAGGAUCAUUAUUGAACAAGACAAGACGCCCCGUUUUUUCGUAAAAUGGGUUCAAUACCCACAACCGUGUAUACCUUACCUUUUGUUGCUUUGGCAGGCCGCCUCCGGACGUUGGCUUCGGCUGACAGCGCCUGCCAGAGGACCCAAACUCUGUGUUUAGUGAUGUCUGAGUAAUAUAUAAUAUUUUAAAACUUUCAACAACGGAUCUCUUGGUUCUG
rnacentral:misc_RNA from 1 species